rnacentral:lncRNA from 1 species
UUUGGUUGAAACUUGUAAUGCUUUGUUAUUUGUGCAGGCACUCCUGAAUUCAUGGCUCCAGAGCUUUAUGAUGAGGAGUAUAAUGAGCUUGUCGACAUAUAUUCUUUUGGUCUGUGCAUAUUGGAGAUGGUUACUUGUGAAUAUCCAUAUAAUGAAUGCAAAAAUCCAGCACAAAUAUACAAGAAAGUUACCUCUGUAAGACAACCAUCUUCAAUACUUAACUUCUCCAUAAUCCUUUCAAGCGGUCAUUUAACCUCUCUCAAUGUCAUUCACUGCAGGGUAUUAAACCCGCUUCCCUUGGUAGAGUGAAU